AAAGAUUUUAACAUCAGUACCAAGCGAGAAGCAAUCCAGUUAUAUUUCUGCUUGGUCAAAAAUGCUGUCUGUUUGUGCUCAAGAACUGAGGCAUGGUGCCUUCAUCUGGAAAAGGUCAUUGCAAGAGAAUUUUCAUGAAAAAUAUUAUCUAAACCUCAAGGCAAGAAGUAUGUCCUUGCCCUUGGGGAAAUUUACAGAGUUGUUGAAAUUCUUGGAUCCUCAGCAACACUUUAUAAGCCAUGGAUAUUAGCAAGUUCAACAGAUCCCAUGGGCAUAUUUACUCUUCUAAGCGAGUGUUCUUCCCUAUGGUCAAGUUCAGGACUUGAAGAAGCUCUGCAUGGCAUUUUGAAUCCACCUGAUUUUGAAUAUCAUGAAAGUCUGAAGACAUUGCUAGAAUCUAUCAAGUAUAUCCAUGAUCU
rnacentral:misc_RNA from 1 species